UACGAAGGGGCGAGCGUUGUUCGGAAUUACUGGGCGUAAAGGGCGCGUAGGCGGCCGAUCAAGUCAGAUGUGAAAGUCCUGGGCUUAACCUGGGGACUGCAUUUGAUACUGAUUGGCUUGAAUGCGAGGAGAGGAUAGCGGAAUUCCCAGUGUAGAGGUGAAAUUCGUAGAUAUUGGGAAGAACACCGGUGGCGAAGGCGGCUAUCUGGACUGUGAUUGACGCUGGAGGCGACGAAAGCCGUGGGGAGCAAACAGG
rnacentral:rRNA from 1 species